UAUAAGUUCUUUGGUUUUCUCUUCUCGUUUCCCCCACCCUACAUCGAGGUAUGUCAACCUCUUCCGCCCCUCCCUGCUUCAAGACUUAUUUUGUUGUUCAAUUCAUUUGUUCACUAGAUUCCACAAAUAAGUGGAAUCAUGUGGUAUUUGUCUUUCCCAGUUUGGCUGCAGUCUUAAGCAAUGACACCAUUCUUCAUGCUCAAAAAGGUUUACAAAAUGUGCCGCCCAAAUAGGUUUAUAAAAAUACCGCCCCUGCCUUUUCCUACUGUUUCUGUGUUUGGGGGCGGCAGCCAGGUCUGCUAGGCACCAGGGAAGGGGCAAUUUGAGUUUCUUAAGCUACCGGGGCAACCAGAGGAAGAACAAGAAAAAAAUGGGUGGUUAGCUGGUCAUCCAGACAAGCCCUAGGGCAGUAUGGUUUCACAAUGCAAAGAUUAGAGUGCAGUGAAAGGCCAGGGGGCAAAACAUACCCUCUGGGAGAAAGCACAGUAAGUUUACUUGAAGGGAGAUUAGGGAAGAAUUUGUUGGCCAUUUGGUUACAAUGCUUCAUCCUGAAAAGUGUCAAAUCAUUCCCAGUCUAGUCACAGAAGAGGAUCAAAUAGUUCUUCAGUGUAACUUGUGAAGUGAUUAAACAAGUCAAAUGAAGGAAACCUGUGUUUAACAGCUAAAAACAAUUGUCCUCAUUUGGCUGAAAUUGACCUCUUUGCUAGUUCUUUAAUGCCCAUCUUUUUGCAGGGAGAUGCAUCCUUUUGGAUUUUCCUUCUCUCCCCCCUCCACCCCUCCACCCCCAACAGCAAAGCCUGGCAGCUACUGCAGGUGGCAGUCUGGCACCCAACAAGACCAGGCUCCUGGAUUUAAUAGGUCUUACCUUUGUCUUGUAAGAUACUUGACUUGCUUUCUCAUUUCAGUGAGGAGGAAACCUCUUGGAGAGAGACCUACUCAGCUUCUUGUUGUCUCCCUUGUUGCUGUUGUAACCAAGGGAGCCAUGUCCAAAUAACAGUGAAUGGGCUUUAUUUGUAUUUGCUUAAUCCUAACCCCCUACCUGAUUGAAUUUUGCUUUUUCGGAAAAGGAAGCAAGACAUAUACAUAAAGUAGCAGAAACCGAGUUUUUGUGUGAUUAGAAAGGCGUUUACCUCACCUUCCCAGCUGCCCCCAUAGCUGCUGCCGUUUUACUCAGCCCCCGAGGAGGUUCAUAAGCACUGUCUGUAGAGCCGCAAGUCUGUAACCUGCUGUCCCUGCCCGGCUGCCUCCAGUCCCACCUCUGCCACAGCUCCUCCUGGGAGCCUCCUGCAGCCCGUUUCCGUACUGGCCUGGGUCCUGGAGGAACGGGCUUGAUCCCCCCUGACUGACUUUUGCUUCCCAGUUGAUUUUACAGCUUCCUUUCUGUUGGGGUCGCCAAUGGUGGAACACAGGAGGCCGAAAGGGGUAAAAAUUAUGGAUUUGUUAGGUCAUCGGGAAAACCGGGUGGGCUGAGCCCCACCUGGCGGCAGUGCCCAGUGACAGGGAGAGUUUGAAGGACUCCAGGCGGGCUUUUUCCGGGUAUAGAGUGCCCCGGGCCAGUGGGUCCCAAGGGGUAAGAUCCUGUUCUUAGCAAGUGGAAUGUGGUCUCGGCAGAAGGGAAGUCAAUGUCGGUUGUGAACUGGCCUAAAGGUCCGUUUCCAGGGGAGGAGGCAUCCAGUCGAUGAUUUGGAUGCAAUUAUUUGGUCUAACACUUUCUUCCAGGGCCUGGCUACUCACAUUGGUCCCUGAGCCACCAGCAGCAAGUCACCCAGGAACUGGUUGGAAAUGCAGAGCCGUGGGCACCACCUUUGACCUCCAAACCAGACUCAGCACCUUAAGGAGACUCCCCACUCCCUUGGUGCAGGUUGUGUGACCCCUGAGAGCCCCUGGUAGUAGCUAACAGCCAUGCUGCCUGCAGCCUGAUGCGUGACACCCUAGGAGAUAAUCGGACCUACUUUGUUUUCCUGCAUUUUGUGUGGCCACAAGAUGAGCCUGGCCUCUCUGCAGCUUGGAAGAGUGGUGAGGAUUGACCCAAAGUGGAGUAGUUAUUCCACGUGCACAUGGAUUUAGUGCGUUCCACAGGAUACAGGGCAGACAGAAUAGUCCAAGAAUUGUGUUACACAAAAAAGAGGUUCAGACCUGGUAAGAAGAUACUUUAUGGAAAGGAUUAUGGACAGGAGGGAAAGGAUUAUUGCAGAUGGGAUUUUCUUCAGACGGAAGUGUUAGCAAGAUUAGGAACAAAGGUGUAUAGGAAAGUGUGAGAAUGACUUGAUUGGAUAGCAAGCAGAUCAGGAAAUAUUUUACUCUGAGGUCUUUUAAUUCUCCACUGGGACCUUCAACAAGGUGGAGGGUGGGUCAGUGUUCCGGAGCCUGGGGGCAUGGAGGAAAUGUAAUGUUUGCCCGAUAAGCCUGUUAUUCUGAUUGAUUGAUUAGGAUUAGCAGUUCAACUAAUCAUCUAUGAAUUAAAGAAUGUGAAUUGGGAGAACCUGUGACGGAGGUCAUCGGAGUUCACCCUUGAGGCCUCAGGCUUUGGGGGGAACGUGGCUCCCGCUGUAAGCCACUUCUGCAAAACAGAGGAGGGGAGGGGUUCCUCUAACCUCAGUGUUCUGGAAUCUCAAGUCUCAGAUAAAAGCCAAUAUUGUCUGUUACAUUCAACAAUAUCUCAUUGAGAUCUUGCUGGACCUGAUGUUUAAGUACAGUAACUGUGUAAAGGAUUGAACAUACUUGGUUUUACUUUAAUCUGAAAUGAAAUUUAAUUGAUUAAAUCUCAUUUAAUAAAAAGGCAAGUUGGAUGCCAUGGGAAUGGCCCCUCCAGGUAGUUUCUGGGUCCAGUUAUGAUUAGCUGAAGAGCGUUACUUGGACCACAGGAUUGAUUGUUCAUUGAAAAAAAUCGAGUACUUUGCUUUAAAUAACUGGAUUACUCUGAUGGACUUUUCCCUAUAAAAAUUCUCUCCAGAUCCAAGAAGUGAUUGAUACUUUAAGUUCUACAUAAAACAUAACUCUACACAAUGGUAGAUAUUAAAUGUAAUAUGUAGUUAUUUGUUAUAUGAUUGUGGUCUGAUGGACAUUUUAUCUUUUCAUUUGCUUUCUCAGAAAAGUAUUGUUAGAGUUUUGGGAUAUGUACAAUAUUUUAUAUUUUUAUGAUGUCUACUUUUAAAGCAAAAGAAUGUGUAUAAUAAAAAUGUGCAUUAGAAA